rnacentral:piRNA from 1 species
AAUAAAGUGACCAAAGUAGAAUU